ACCCUCUUAAGAUUGCACCUGGAGAGUUUCCAGUACUCUACCAGUCUCGGCUAUGGGAGGGAGAGUCAAGCAGAGGCAUACCCAUUCCAUUCCUAGCUUGGCCCGUGGCUAGAAGGUGGAAGGCAAUCUGCUACAGGU